GACGAACGCUGGCGGCGUGCCUAAUACAUGCAAGUAGAACGCACAGUUUAUACCGUAGCUUGCUACACCAUAGACUGUGAGUUGCGAACGGGUGAGUAACGCGUAGGUAACCUGCCUGGUAGCGGGGGAUAACUAUUGGAAGCGAUAGCUAAUACCGCAUAAUAUUAAUUAUUGCAUGAUGAUUGAUUGAAAGGUGCAAAUGCAUCACUACCAGAUGGACCUGCGUUGUAUUAGCUAGUUGGUGGGGUAACGGCUCACCAAGGCGACGAUACAUAGCCGACCUGAGAGGGUGAUCGGCCACACUGGGACUGAGACACGGCCCAGACUCCUACGGGAGGCAGCAGUAGGGAAUCUUCGGCAAUGGACGGAAGUCUGACCGAGCAACGCCGCGUGAGUGAAGAAGGUUUUCGGAUCGUAAAGCUCUGUUGUAAGAGAAGAACGGGUGUGAGAGUGGAAAGUUCACACUGUGACGGUAUCUUACCAGAAAGGGACGGCUAACUACGUGCCAGCAGCCGCGGUAAUACGUAGGUCCCGAGCGUUGUCCGGAUUUAUUGGGCGUAAAGCGAGCGCAGGCGGUUAGAUAAGUCUGAAGUUAAAGGCUGUGGCUUAACCAUAGUACGCUUUGGAAACUGUUUAACUUGAGUGCAGAAGGGGAGAGUGGAAUUCCAUGUGUAGCGGUGAAAUGCGUAGAUAUAUGGAGGAACACCGGUGGCGAAAGCGGCUCUCUGGUCUGUAACUGACGCUGAGGCUCGAAAGCGUGGGGGAGCGAACAGG
rnacentral:rRNA from 1 species